AUAUUGGAAUCCAAACUUAAAGAUUGCAAUUUAUUGAUAAGCCUUCUAUGUGCAACAGUGUCAAAAGCCUUCCUGAAAUCUAGGUAAGCAAUGUCUACUGCACCACCCUGAUCUAUUAUUUUAGUUACCCAAUCAAAAAAAUCAAUAAGAUUAGUUUGGCAUGAUCUCCCUGAAGUAAACCCAUGUUGUCUCUGAUCUUGAAAUCCAUGUGUUUUUAGAAGUUCAACAAUCCUAUCCUUUGACAUGGUUUCCAUCACUUUCCCCACUACUGAAGUAAGGCUUACUGGCCUAUAGUUGCCCGACUCCUCCCUAUUACCUUUCUUGUAAAUGGGCACAACAUUCGCUAACUUCCAAUCUUCUGGGACUACUCCUGUUAACAAUGAUUGGUUAAAUAAAUCUGUUAAUGGUUUUGCU